rnacentral:rRNA from 1 species
CGCACGGGUGAGUAACACGUAUGCAACCUGCCUGCCACAGCCGGAUAAUCGGGAGAAAUUCCGUCUAAUACGGCAUAAUGCAUCGACGGGACCUCCUGUUGGUGCCAAAGGUUGAUUCCGGUGGCGGAUGGGCAUGCGUCGCAUUAGUUAGUUGGCGGUGUAACGGACCACCAAGACGACGAUGCGUAGGGGUUCUGAGAGGAAGGUCCCCCACACUGGUACUGAGACACGGACCAGACUCCUACGGGAGGCAGCAG